rnacentral:rRNA from 3 species
GGGUUGUGAGGUUAAGCGACUAAGCGUACACGGUGGAUGCCCUGGCAGUCAGAGGCGAUGAAGGACGUGCUAAUCUGCGAUAAGCGUCGGUAAGGUGAUAUGAACCGUUAUAACCGGCGAUUUCCGAAUGGGGAAACCCAGUGUGUUUCGACACACUAUCAUUAACUGAAUCCAUAGGUUAAUGAGGCGAACCGGGGGAACUGAAACAUCUAAGUACCCCGAGGAAAAGAAAUCAACCGAGAUUCCCCCAGUAGCGGCGAGCGAACGGGGAGGAGCCCAGAGCCUGAAUCAGUGUGUGUGUUAGUGGAAGCGUCUGGAAAGGCGCGCGAUACAGGGUGACAGCCCCGUACACAAAAAUGCACAUGCUGUGAGCUCGAUGAGUAGGGCGGGACACGUGGUAUCCUGUCUGAAUAUGGGGGGACCAUCCUCCAAGGCUAAAUACUCCUGACUGACCGAUAGUGAACCAGUACCGUGAGGGAAAGGCGAAAAGAACCCCGGCGAGGGGAGUGAAAAAGAACCUGAAACCGUGUACGUACAAGCAGUGGGAGCACAGAGCAAUCUGUGUGACUGCGUACCUUUUGUAUAAUGGGUCAGCGACUUAUAUUCUGUAGCAAGGUUAACCGAAUAGGGGAGCCGAAGGGAAACCGAGUCUUAACUGGGCGUUAAGUUGCAGGGUAUAGACCCGAAACCCGGUGAUCUAGCCAUGGGCAGGUUGAAGGUUGGGUAACACUAACUGGAGGACCGAACCGACUAAUGUUGAAAAAUUAGCGGAUGACUUGUGGCUGGGGGUGAAAGGCCAAUCAAACCGGGAGAUAGCUGGUUCUCCCCGAAAGCUAUUUAGGUAGCGCCUCGUGAAUUCAUCUCCGGGGGUAGAGCACUGUUUCGGCAAGGGGGUCAUCCCGACUUACCAACCCGAUGCAAACUGCGAAUACCGGAGAAUGUUAUCACGGGAGACACACGGCGGGUGCUAACGUCCGUCGUGAAGAGGGAAACAACCCAGACCGCCAGCUAAGGUCCCAAAGUCAUGGUUAAGUGGGAAACGAUGUGGGAAGGCCCAGACAGCCAGGAUGUUGGCUUAGAAGCAGCCAUCAUUUAAAGAAAGCGUAAUAGCUCACUGGUCGAGUCGGCCUGCGCGGAAGAUGUAACGGGGCUAAACCAUGCACCGAAGCUGCGGCAGCGACGCUGAUGCGUUGUUGGGUAGGGGAGCGUUCUGUAAGCCUGUGAAGGUGUGCUGUGAGGCAUGCUGGAGGUAUCAGAAGUGCGAAUGCUGACAUAAGUAACGAUAAAGCGGGUGAAAAGCCCGCUCGCCGGAAGACCAAGGGUUCCUGUCCAACGUUAAUCGGGGCAGGGUGAGUCGACCCCUAAGGCGAGGCCGAAAGGCGUAGUCGAUGGGAAACAGGUUAAUAUUCCUGUACUUGGUGUUACUGCGAAGGGGGGACGGAGAAGGCUAUGUUGGCCGGGCGACGGUUGUCCCGGUUUAAGCGUGUAGGCUGGUUUUCCAGGCAAAUCCGGAAAACUAAGGCUGAGGCGUGAUGACGAGGCACUACGGUGCUGAAGCAACAAAUGCCCUGCUUCCAGGAAAAGCCUCUAAGCAUCAGGUAACAUCAAAUCGUACCCCAAACCGACACAGGUGGUCAGGUAGAGAAUACCAAGGCGCUUGAGAGAACUCGGGUGAAGGAACUAGGCAAAAUGGUGCCGUAACUUCGGGAGAAGGCACGCUGAUAUGUAGGUGAAGUCCCUCGCGGAUGGAGCUGAAAUCAGUCGAAGAUACCAGCUGGCUGCAACUGUUUAUUAAAAACACAGCACUGUGCAAACACGAAAGUGGACGUAUACGGUGUGACGCCUGCCCGGUGCCGGAAGGUUAAUUGAUGGGGUCAGCGCAAGCGAAGCUCUUGAUCGAAGCCCCGGUAAACGGCGGCCGUAACUAUAACGGUCCUAAGGUAGCGAAAUUCCUUGUCGGGUAAGUUCCGACCUGCACGAAUGGCGUAAUGAUGGCCAGGCUGUCUCCACCCGAGACUCAGUGAAAUUGAACUCGCUGUGAAGAUGCAGUGUACCCGCGGCAAGACGGAAAGACCCCGUGAACCUUUACUAUAGCUUGACACUGAACAUUGAGCCUUGAUGUGUAGGAUAGGUGGGAGGCUUUGAAGUGUGGACGCCAGUCUGCAUGGAGCCGACCUUGAAAUACCACCCUUUAAUGUUUGAUGUUCUAACGUUGACCCGUAAUCCGGGUUGCGGACAGUGUCUGGUGGGUAGUUUGACUGGGGCGGUCUCCUCCUAAAGAGUAACGGAGGAGCACGAAGGUUGGCUAAUCCUGGUCGGACAUCAGGAGGUUAGUGCAAUGGCAUAAGCCAGCUUGACUGCGAGCGUGACGGCGCGAGCAGGUGCGAAAGCAGGUCAUAGUGAUCCGGUGGUUCUGAAUGGAAGGGCCAUCGCUCAACGGAUAAAAGGUACUCCGGGGAUAACAGGCUGAUACCGCCCAAGAGUUCAUAUCGACGGCGGUGUUUGGCACCUCGAUGUCGGCUCAUCACAUCCUGGGGCUGAAGUAGGUCCCAAGGGUAUGGCUGUUCGCCAUUUAAAGUGGUACGCGAGCUGGGUUUAGAACGUCGUGAGACAGUUCGGUCCCUAUCUGCCGUGGGCGCUGGAGAACUGAGGGGGGCUGCUCCUAGUACGAGAGGACCGGAGUGGACGCAUCACUGGUGUUCGGGUUGUCAUGCCAAUGGCACUGCCCGGUAGCUAAAUGCGGAAGAGAUAAGUGCUGAAAGCAUCUAAGCACGAAACUUGCCCCGAGAUGAGUUCUCCCUGACUCCUUGAGAGUCCUGAAGGAACGUUGAAGACGACGACGUUGAUAGGCCGGAUGUGUAAGCGCAGCGAUGCGUUGAGCUAACCGGUACUAAUGAACCGUGAGGCUUAACCUUACAACGCCGAAGGUGUUU